rnacentral:tRNA from 1 species
GCCAAAAUAGCAUAAUCGGUUAGUGCUUCGAAUUCAUAAUUCGACGGUAUUGGUUCAAGUCCAUUUUUGGUA